rnacentral:rRNA from 1 species
CACGUAGGCGGACUGGAAAGUUGGAGGUGAAAUCCCAGGGCUCAACCUUGGAACUGCCUUCAAAAUUAUCAGUCUGGAGUUCGAGAGAGGUGAGUGGAAUUCCGAGUGUAGAGGUGAAAUUCGUAGAUAUUCGGAGGAACACCAGUGGCGAAGGCGGCUCACUGGCUCGAUACUGACGCUGAGGUGCGAAAGUGUGGGGAGCAAACA